rnacentral:lncRNA from 1 species
AGAACUAGAGAAAGCUGAAAACCAGGUUCUGGCCAUGCGGAAGCAGUCUGAGGGCCUCACCAAGGAGUACGACCGCCUGCUGGAGGAGCACGCAAAGCUACAGGCUGCAGUAGAUGGUCCCAUGGACAAGAAGGCAGAGUAAGGGCCUCCUUCCUCCCCUGCCUGCAGCUGGCUUCCACCUGGCACGUGCCUGCUGCUUCCUGAGAGCCCAGCCUCUUCCUCCGAUGACACCGGGCUGCCGCCACCCCUUUUCUCAAUCGCACAACCAGCCUUUCACACGCACCCCCUCACGCAAGCCGCCCUCGCCAGGCCCCCUUGCCAGACCCAGUGAGCAUUCUGCAGGUCACUGUCCUUCACCAGCAGCAGCAGCACUGGACAGAUGGAGCCAGUCACUGCUCCUCCCUGACCUGUGAAGGGACCCCACCAGCUCUCAGGCAUCCUCCCCCAUCGCUGCUGCGUCUCCCCUCUGCCCCUCUCAUUGUGUCUCUGGACUUGUGGCGUCCCUGUGAGCUCACCCAGGCUCAAGGCUUUCAGUGUCAUCUCUAUGUGGUAAGAACUUGCCAAGUUCCAUCUCCAGUACUUUCUGGAACUUCUGUGUCCACCUGCCAACUAGACAUCUCC